GCAUAUCAAUAAGCGGAGGAAAAGAAACUAACAAGGAUUCCCUUAGUAACGGCGAGUGAAGCGGGAAGAGCUCAAAUUUGAAAUCUUCAAGGUUCUACCUUGACGAAUUGUAGUUUAAAGAAGUGUUUUCUGUUAGAUGAGUAGCAAAAGUUCCUUGGAAUGGGACAUCAUAGAGGGUGAGAAUCCCGUAUUUGGUUAUUCAUUCUAGCUUUGUGAUACACUUUCAAAGAGUCGGAUUGUUUGGGAAUGCAGUCCAAAAUGGGUGGUAAAUUUCAUCUAAAGCUAAAUAUUGGCGAGAGACCGAUAGCGAACAAGUACCGUGAGGGAAAGAUGAAAAGAACUUUGAAAAGGGAGUUAAACAGUACGUGAAAUUGUCAAAAGGGAAGCAUUUGACACCAGUGUUGUUUUUCCGAAAAUCAAUUACGAAUGGCUUGAUUUUGUGUUGUAUUGACCUUAUCAGCUUUCUUCACUUUUUUCGAGUCUUUCUUAAUACACUUUUCGGUUAACAAGUCAACAUCAAUUUCUUUUGUUGUAAAAGAGUAUUCGGAAGGUGGCUUUCUUUUCGGAGAAAGUGUUUAUAGCCCUAUACUUCUACAAUCGGAGAGAUUGAGGUCUGCAGCGUAGAUCCUUCGGGGUUAGAUACACUUGUGCUAAGUUGUAGCUUUUCAUAGACAACUUGUUGACUAUGUUUAGUCAUGCGGCUUACUCGCUUGUGCUAUUUUACCUACGCUUAGGAUGUUGACAAAAUGGUUUUAAACGACCCGUCUUGAAACACGGACC
rnacentral:rRNA from 1 species